UAAAGCUCUGUUGUUGGUGAAGAAGGAUAGAGGCAGUAACUGGUCUUUAUUUGACGGUAAUCAACCAGAAAGUCACGGCUAACUACGUGCCAGCAGCCGCGGUAAUACAUAGGUGGCAAGCGUUGUCCGGAUUUAUUGGGCGUAAAGCGAGCGCAGGCGGAAUGAUAAGUCUGAUGUGAAAGCCCACGGCUCAACCGUGGAACUGCAUCGGAAACUGUCAUUCUUGAGUGCAGAAGAGGAGAGUGGAACUCCAUGUGUAGCGGUGGAAUGCGUAGAUAUAUGGAAGAACACCAGUGGCGAAGGCGGCUCUCUGGUCUGCAACUGACGCUGAGGCUCGAAAGCAUGGGUAGCGAACAGGAUUAGAUACCCUGGUAGUCCAUGCCGUAAACGAUGAGCGCUAGGUGUUGGGGACUUUCCGGUCCUCAGUGCCGCAGCAAACGCAUUAAGCGCUCCGCCUGGGGAGUACGACCGCAAGGUUGAAACUCAAAGG
rnacentral:rRNA from 1 species